rnacentral:sRNA from 1 species
GCGCCGCCUGCCGAUCUUCGCCCUAACCUUUCGGGGCCUGACCUCCAGCCAUCUUUGAUUUCCGACUUCCUAAAAAUAACCGCGGCAAGCCCGAGGUUGCGGUAUUUACCAGUGGUGGCCUGGAUGUAGAAGCACUUUUUACUGCACAAGCAAACAGAGCUGCUGCUGUUUUAAGAGUCAAGUGGGAUGUUGCUGGUGGAGGCUGCAGAAGAGGCAAGCUUGUGUAUACAGCAAAGGCAAGCUGCUCCAUUGAUAUCUUGAUGAUGGGGUAUACCUGAGAGGACAGCGGGGAGGUGAGAACAAUGAAGUAGCUUCGAGAGACUUCCAGGCGUCAUGUGAAGGACCCCAGCAUCUGGCUAAAACACAGUCCCAAGUUCGGAGUUGCAAUGUGUAGGCUGGCACUAACCCUAAAGUGCUCCAGUGAACCACCCAGGGAAUGACGAGGUGGCGAGUGAGGAUGAAGCCACAGUAAAGCGGCUUCGUCGGGAGGAGACGCACGUCUGUGAGAAAUGCUGUGCGGAGUUCUUCAGCAUCUCUGAGUUCCUGGAACAUAAGAAAAAUUGCACUAAAAAUCCACCUGUCCUCAUCAUGAAUGACAGCGAGGGGCCUGUGCCUUCAGAAGACUUCUCCGGAGCUGUACUGAGCCACCAGCCCGCCAGUCCCGGCAGUAAGGACGGUCACAGGGAGAAUGGCGGCAGCUCAGAGGACAUGAAGGAGAAGCCGGAUGCGGAGUCUGUGGUGUACCUAAAGACAGAGACAGCCCUGCCACCCACCCCCCAGGA